rnacentral:rRNA from 1 species
GAGACCCGUGCCCACUGUUACCAGCAUGUCCUCCGGGACGAUGGGUACUCUGUGGGGACCGCCGGUGUCAAAUCGGAGGAAGGUGCGGGCCACGGUAGGUCAGUAUGCCCCGAAUCUCCCGGGCUACACGCGGGCUACAAUGGAUGGGACAAUGGGUCCCUACCCCGAAAGGGGAUGGUAAUCUCACAAACCCAUUCGUAGUUCGGAUCGAGGGCUGUAACUCGCCCUCGUGAAGCUGGAAUCCGUAGUAAUCGCGUUUCAAUAUAGCGCGGUGAAUAC